AAUCUUACACCUGAUAGUCAUUUAAAAAAUAAUUCACACAAUUGUUUAAUAAGAAUCCUAUUCACAAAAUUGGUAACAACUCAAUUCAAUAAAGAGGAAAUGGCCUAAGUGGGGCUGACCCGAACAGCAGUUCCCAUAGUUUCAAGUUGGAUGUGAAACAUGGAAUUGCAAAGAGAGUUUGGUUGUUGCUCUGUCUCACCUCCACUAUGGUCAACACCCAAAUGGUUGACGAAACAAGGUACAUGCCUUGAUCCCAUCAUACCAAGAAUCAAUCGCCCAUAGUGGAGACUUUCUAAUUGUUGCCUAGUCGGACUUUAGCAACUCCAUCGGUUUGUAUGGUGCUCCUAGCCAUUCGAAUUACUGCAUGAAACAUUCUUGUGUGAGAAAUCAUCCAUGUUAAAAAUUAGAUUAACUCAAGUAACACUAGUCUGCCUCAAAAA